AAUCAAAGCUGCAUUGAGGUCACGUGGGUCGCGCCGAAUACAUCUGCUCCGGCAAAUAUUACAUUCUGCGCAACCUUUGUGCAGCAAUACGAGAAGUUCUGGAUCAUGGUGGGCAGCCCCCCUGUCCUGCUGUCCAGCCACACUGGCCCGCCGUCCAGCCCCACUGACCCGCCGUCCAGCCCCACUGACCCGCCGUCCAGCCCCACUGGCCCGCCAUCUAACAGUCCUGCCUUAGCUGUGAACUGCCUGAUGAUGCCUCUCUGCAUCCUGAUUGCACUCAGACUCUUCAGAGCUUCAUCUUUAACGCUACUCUGAUCUUUGGUAAUGGAUGCAACUGGAAAUAUUAUGGAUACUUCUGAUUUUACU